rnacentral:rRNA from 1 species
UGGCGGCGUGCCUAACACAUGCAAGUCGAACGAGAAAUUCCGACUCGUCGGAAGAGUAAAGUGGCGAACGGGUGAGUAACGCGUGGGUAAUCUGCCCUUGAGUUCGGGAUAACUUCGCGAAAGCGGAGCUAAUACCGAUAAAACUGGUCUUGUUACGGCAAGAUCAGUAAAAGAUGGCCUCUACAUAUAAGCUGUUGCUUAAGGAUGAGCCCGUGUACCAUUAGCUUGUUGGUAGGGUAAUGGCCUACCAAGGCAACGAUGGUUAGCUGGUCUGAGAGGAUGACCAGCCACACUGGAACUGAGACACGGUCCAGACUCCUACGGGAGGCAGCAGUGGGGGAUUUUUGCGCAAUGGGGGAAACCCUGACGCAGCGACGCCGUGUGAGUGAUGAAGGCUUUCGGGUCGUAAAGCUCUGUCACUGAGAGAAGAAAUGCAUUGCCUCUAAUAAAGGUGAUGCUUGACGGUAUCUCAGGAGGAAGCCCCGGCCAACUCCGUG